rnacentral:lncRNA from 1 species
AAUUUUAAGGGAUACUAGGCUAAGAUUCAAAGGGGAAAAAGAGACAUGAAAGAACUUGUGGGAGUUGAACUACAUUCAUCCACUUUCAAACAAUAACUUUUCUGCGAUUUUCUUCUCUUUUAUCUUUUUAUCCUCUUUUUUUUCAUAAGGAAAAUGUAAUGAAAUCCUUCUUUGCUUUUUCCACUUCUUUUUUUAAUAUUGUUUUCUUCUUUUUCUAUAUAUUUUUUUUCUUUUUCUGUCAACUUUUGAAUGAAAUAUCACAACUAUAGUUAUUCAACCUCACAUAACUUCAAACAAGACUCUUUCAGUCUUAUGAAUGGGUGAUAACAUUGUUUUUCACUUUCAGGCUUGUAAUGAGUUUAAACAAAGAAUAUGAUAAUAGGCUCAAAGGGGUUUUCAAACAAGGGAUGAUGUUAUUCAGGGUUGGCUUUUUGGUUAAUGACUAAAAAAAUAAACAAAACAAAAAUAAGUUGCCUUU